UCGACCUCAGAUCAGGUGGGACUCCCCGCCGAAUUUAAGCAUAUUAGUAAGCGGAGGAAAAGAAACUAACAAGGAUUCCCUCAGUAGCUGCGAGCGAACAGGGAGGAGCCCAGCACUGAAUCCCGGAGGCCUCGCUUCCAGGGAGAUGUAGUGUUUAGGAGUGCCCGAUCGACCCGGGGCCUGUGCACCGCGUUCAAGUCCAUCUUGAACGGGGCCACGGUCCGUAGAGGGUGCCAGGCCCGUAGAUGACCGGUGCCGGCCCCGGGUGGGUCCCUCCUUAGAGUCGGGCUGCUUGAGAGUGCAGCCCUAAGCGGGUGGUAAACUCCAUCUAAGGCUAAAUACAACCACGAGACCGAUAGAGAACAAGUACCGUGAGGGAAAGUUGAAAAGAACUUUGAAGAGAGAGUUCAAGAGUACGUGAAACCGCUCAGGGGUAAACGGAAAAGACCCGAAGCCCCGAAACGGGAGAUUCACGUCUUCUCGCCAGGGUCCGCGCCCCGAUGCGGGGGAUGGCCUUUCGCCCCGUCCGGCUCGUCCGGUUCGGUGGGUGGGCCGCCCCCCUCGGGGCCGCGUUCCCGCGGAGGACCGCACUUCUCCCAUAGUAGGACGUCGCGACCCGCUCAGCGGCGGUCAAAGGUCCGGAAGGAUGCCCGUCGUGGGACCCCUCGGGGCCCUACGGCGGACCUCCGGCACCGCGGCCGUCGGUCCGGGCGGUAUCGAAAGACUACGGCGCUGGGCCGCUCACUGCGAGCGCCGCCGUCUCCUCUCGCGACCCGGCGUCCGCCGGGGGGUGCCUAGACGGGCACGCCUCGGCCGGGCGCUGCGGCCAGCCGCGGGGAGGUCUCCGGCACGGCCCAGCACGCCAGUCUGCGGCGCUUCAGAUUCGGGAACUUAUCCGACCCGUCUUGAAACACGGACCAAGGAGUCUAGCGUGUGCGCGAGUCAUUGGGUGAAAAACCUAAAGGCGCAAUGAAAGUGUCAGCGCGGGCCUCCUCCGGGAGGUCCCGCCACUGGGAGGAUGGGCCGCCCGGCGAUCACUCGUCGGCGCCCCGCACUCCCGGGGCGUCUCGUUCUCUUUCAGAGUGGAGACGCACCAGGAGCGCACACGCUGGUACCCGAAAGAUGGUGAACUAUGCCUGGCCAGGACGAAGCCAGGGGAAACCCUGGUGGAGGUCCGAAGCGAUUCUGACGUGCAAAUCGAUCGUCUGAGCUGGGUAUAGGGGCGAAAGACCAAUCGAACCAUCUAGUAGCUGGUUCCCUCUGAAGUUUCCCUCAGGAUAGCUGGCUCUCGGGCUGAGACGAGUCUCAUCCGGUAGAGCGAAUGAUUAGAGGUGAUGGGGUCGAAACGACUUCAACCUAUUCUCAAACUCCCAAUAGAUGAGAGCCCCGGCUUGCUUGAAAGUGAAGCCGCGGGAUUCGGAUCAGAGAUGCCAAGUGGGCCAAUUUUGGUAAGCAGAACUGGCGCUGUGGGAUGAACCAAACGCAGAGUUAAGGCGCCUGAUUCGACGCUCAUAUGAAACCAUGAAAGGCGUUGGUUGCUUAAGACAGCAGGACGGUGGCCAUGGAAGUCGGAAUCCGCUAAGGAGUGUGUAACAACUCACCUGCCGAAGCAACUAGCCCUGAAAAUGGAUGGCGCUGUAGCGUCGUGCCUAUACUCUGCCGUCGACGGCAAAGCGGGCCGCCCUCACGGGCGUCGCCGUUAAGCCUCGACGAGUAAGAGGGUCGCGGCGGUGUGCGCGGAAGGGUCCGGGCGCGAGCCCGCCUGGAGCCGCCGCCGGUGCAGAUCUUGGUGGUAGUAGCAAAUACUCCAGCGAGGCCCUGGAGGACUGAUGUGGAGAAGGGUUUCUUGUGAACAGCUGUUGCACAAGAGUCAGUCGAUCCUAAGCCCUAGGAGAAAUCCGAAGGGAACGGUUGCCGUUAAACACAAACUAUAAUACAUAUACAAUAUAUAUACGAUCUCUUGUGGAUGGAAAAAUUGGGGGUUGGGAGAGAGAGAGGAGAGGGGGUCUCGGCCGCGGUCGCGCAAGCACCGGCCGGCGAUCUGGCGCAAUAGCGCGCCAGGCGCCGUCACCUGUGCCCGCGCCCGGCCUCCCCUCUCGCUCUCCUCCCUCCUUUUUUUUUUUCCCUCUCCGCAUGGCUUUUUUUUUUAUUGUUAUUAUGGAUAUAUAGCUGGCACCGUACGGGCGAAAGGGAAUCCGGUUCCUAUUCCGGAACCCGGCAGCGGAACCGCUCCAAUUCGGGCCCUCAUCCGAGGACUCGUCGGGGUGACCCGAAAUGACCCGGAGAAGCCGUAGGGAGGUCCGGGGAGAGUUGUCUCUUCUCUAUAAGCGUUCGAGUUCCCUGGAAGCCUCUAGGAGGGAGAUAGGGUUUGGAACGCGAAGAGCACCGCACUUACGGCGGUGUCCGGAUCUUCCCCUCGGACCUUGAAAAUCCGGGCGAGGGCCACGGGGAACACCGCGCCGGCUCGUACCCAUAUCCGCAGCAGGUCUCCAAGGUGAAU
rnacentral:rRNA from 1 species